AUUGAACGCUGGCGGCAGGCUUAACACAUGCAAGUCGAGCGGGGGAAGGUAGCUUGCUACUGGACCUAGCGGCGGACGGGUGAGUAAUGCUUAGGAAUCUGCCUAUUAGUGGGGGACAACAUUUCGAAAGGAAUGCUAAUACCGCAUACGUCCUACGGGAGAAAGCAGGGGAUCUUCGGACCUUGCGCUAAUAGAUGAGCCUAAGUCGGAUUAGCUAGUUGGUGGGGUAAAGGCCUACCAAGGCGACGAUCUGUAGCGGGUCUGAGAGGAUGAUCCGCCACACUGGGGCUGAGACACGGCCCAGACUCCUACGGGAGGCAGCAGUGGGGAAUAUUGGACAAUGGGCGCAGGCCUGAUCCAGCCAUGCCGCGUGUGUGAAGAAGGCCUUAUGGUUGUAAAGCACUUUAAGCGAGGAGGAGGCUACUUUAGUUAAUACCUAGAGAUAGUGGACGUUACUCGCAGAAUAAGCACCGGCUAACUCUGUGCCAGCCGCCGCUGUAACAC
rnacentral:rRNA from 1 species